AGCGUACACGGUGGAUGCCUAGGCAGUCAGAGGCGAUGAAGGGCGUGCUAAUCUGCGAAAAGCGUCGGUAAGGUGAUAUGAACCGUUAUAACCGACGAUACCCGAAUGGGGAAACCCAGUGCAAUUCGUUGCACUAUUGCAUGGUGAAUACAUAGCCAUGCAAGGCGAACCGGGGGAACUGAAACAUCUAAGUACCCCGAGGAAAAGAAAUCAACCGAGAUUCCCCCAGUAGCGGCGAGCGAACGGGGAGGAGCCCAGAGUCUGAAUCAGUUUGUGUGUUAGUGGAAGCGUCUGGAAAGUCGCAGGGUACAGGGUGAUACUCCCGUACACAAAAACACACUUGCUGUGAACUCGAUGAGUAGGGCGGGACACGUGACAUCCUGUCUGAAUAUGGGGGGACCAUCCUCCAAGGCUAAAUACUCCUGACUGACCGAUAGUGAACCAGUACCGUGAGGGAAAGGCGAAAAGAACCCCGGCGAGGGGAGUGAAAUAGAACCUGAAACCGUGUACGUACAAGCAGUGGGAGCCUACUUUGUUGGGUGACUGCGUACCUUUUGUAUAAUGGGUCAGCGACUUAUAUUUUGUAGCAAGGUUAACCGAAUAGGGGAGCCGUAGGGAAACCGAGUCUUAACUGGGCGUCUAGUUGCAAGGUAUAGACCCGAAACCCGGUGAUCUAGCCAUGGGCAGGUUGAAGGUUGGGUAACACUAACUGGAGGACCGAACCGACUAAUGUUGAAAAAUUAGCGGAUGACUUGUGGCUGGGGGUGAAAGGCCAAUCAAACCGGGAGAUAGCUGGUUCUCCCCGAAAGCUAUUUAGGUAGCGCCUCGUGAACUCAUCUUCGGGGGUAGAGCACUGUUUCGGCUAGGGGGCCAUCCCGGCUUACCAAACCGAUGCAAACUCCGAAUACCGAAGAAUGUUAUCACGGGAGACACACGGCGGGUGCUAACGUCCGUCGUGAAGAGGGAAACAACCCAGACCGCCAGCUAAGGUCCCAAAGUCAUGGUUAAGUGGGAAACGAUGUGGGAAGGCAUAGACAGCCAGGAUGUUGGCUUAGAAGCAGCCAUCAUUUAAAGAAAGCGUAAUAGCUCACUGGUCGAGUCGGCCUGCGCGGAAGAUGUAACGGGGCUAAACCAUGCACCGAAGCUGCGGCAGCGACGCUUAGGCGUUGUUGGGUAGGGGAGCGUUCUGUAAGCCGUUGAAGGUGACCUGUGAGGGUUGCUGGAGGUAUCAGAAGUGCGAAUGCUGACAUAAGUAACGAUAAUGCGGGUGAAAAACCCGCACGCCGGAAGACCAAGGGUUCCUGUCCAACGUUAAUCGGGGCAGGGUGAGUCGACCCCUAAGGCGAGGCUGAAAAGCGUAGUCGAUGGGAAACAGGUUAAUAUUCCUGUACUUGGUGUUACUGCGAAGGGGGGACGGAGAAGGCUAGGCUAGCCGGGCGACGGUUGUCCCGGUUUAAGCAUGUAGGCGGAGUGACUUGGUAAAUCCGGUUGCUUAUCAACGCUGAGGUGUGAUGACGAGUCACUACGGUGAUGAAGUAGUUGAUGCCAAGCUUCCAGGAAAAGCCUCUAAGCAUCAGGUAACAUUAAAUCGUACCCCAAACCGACACAGGUGGUCAGGUAGAGAAUACUCAGGCGCUUGAGAGAACUCGGGUGAAGGAACUAGGCAAAAUGGUGCCGUAACUUCGGGAGAAGGCACGCUGGCAUUAGGUAAAGGGACUUGCUCCCGGAGCUGAAGCCAGUCGCAGAUACCAGCUGGCUGCAACUGUUUAAUAAAAACACAGCACUGUGCAAACACGAAAGUGGACGUAUACGGUGUGACGCCUGCCCGGUGCUGGAAGGUUAAUUGAUGGGGUCAGCCGCAAGGCGAAGCUCUUGAUCGAAGCCCCAGUAAACGGCGGCCGUAACUAUAACGGUCCUAAGGUAGCGAAAUUCCUUGUCGGGUAAGUUCCGACCUGCACGAAUGGCGUAAUGAUGGCCAGGCUGUCUCCACCCGAGACUCAGUGAAAUUGAACUCGCUGUGAAGAUGCAGUGUACCCGCGGCAAGACGGAAAGACCCCGUGAACCUUUACUAUAGCUUGACACUGAACAUUGAGCCUUGAUGUGUAGGAUAGGUGGGAGGCAUUGAAGUGUGGACGCCAGUCUGCAUGGAGCCAACCUUGAAAUACCACCCUUUAAUGUUUGAUGUUCUAACUCGGCCCCGUAAUCCGGGGUGAGGACAGUGUCUGGUGGGUAGUUUGACUGGGGCGGUCUCCUCCCAAAGAGUAACGGAGGAGCACGAAGGUUAGCUAAUCACGGUCGGACAUCGUGAGGUUAGUGCAAAGGCAUAAGCUAGCUUGACUGCGAGAGUGACGGCUCGAGCAGGUACGAAAGUAGGUCUUAGUGAUCCGGUGGUUCUGAAUGGAAGGGCCAUCGCUCAACGGAUAAAAGGUACUCCGGGGAUAACAGGCUGAUACCGCCCAAGAGUUCAUAUCGACGGCGGUGUUUGGCACCUCGAUGUCGGCUCAUCACAUCCUGGGGCUGAAGUAGGUCCCAAGGGUAUGGCUGUUCGCCAUUUAAAGUGGUACGCGAGCUGGGUUUAGAACGUCGUGAGACAGUUCGGUCCCUAUCUGCCGUGGGCGUUGGAAGAUUGAGAGGGGCUGCUCCUAGUACGAGAGGACCGGAGUGGACGAAUCACUGGUGUUCGGGUUGUCAUGCCAAUGGCAUUGCCCGGUAGCUAAAUUCGGAAGAGAUAACCGCUGAAAGCAUCUAAGCGGGAAACUUGCCUCGAGAUGAGUCUUCCCUGGGGCUUUAAGCCCCCUGAAGGAACGUUAAAGACUAUGACGUUGAUAGGCUGGGUGUGUAAGUGCAGCGAUGCAUUGAGCUAACCAGUACUAAUGAUCCGUGAGGCUUAACC
rnacentral:rRNA from 1 species